rnacentral:rRNA from 1 species
UACGGAGGGGACUAGCGUUGUUCGGAAUUACUGGGCGUAAAGCGCACGUAGGCGGCUUUGCAAGUCAGAGGUGAAAGCCCGGGGCUCAACCCCGGAAUAGCCUUUGAGACUGCAUCGCUAGAAUUGUGGAGAGGUAAGUGGAAUUCCGAGUGUAGAGGUGAAAUUCGUAGAUAUUCGGAAGAACACCAGUGGCGAAGGCGACUUACUGGACACAUAUUGACGCUGAGGUGCGAAAGCGUGGGGAGCAAACAGG